rnacentral:rRNA from 1 species
CCUACGGGCGGCUGCAGUGGGGAAUAUUGCGCAAUGGGGGAAACCCUGAUGCAGCGACGCCGCGUGAGCGAUGAAGUAUUUCGGUAUGUAAAGCUCUAUCAGCAGGGAAGAAGAUGACGGUACCUGACUAAGAAGCCCCGGUUAACUACGUGCCAGCAGCCGCGGUAAUACGUAGGGGGCAAGCGUUAUCCGGAUUUACUGGGUGUAAAGGGAGCGUAGACGGCGAUGCAAGCCAGAUGUGAAAGCCCGGGGCUCAACCCCGGGACUGCAUUUGGAACUGUGUGGCUGGAGUGUCGGAGAGGCAGGCGGAAUUCCUAGUGUAGCGGUGAAAUGCGUAGAUAGUAGGAGGAACACCAGUGGCGAAGGCGGCCUGCUGGACUGCAACUGACGUUGAGGCCCGAAAGCGUGGGGAGCAAACAGGAUUAGAUACCCUUGUAGUC